GUCUACGGCCAUGCCACCCUGAGCAAUCCUGUCUGAUCCCGGAAGCUAAGCAGUGUCUGAUCCCGGAAGCUAAGCAAUGUCAGGCCUGGUUAAUACUUGGAAUGGGAGACCACCUAGGAAGACCGGGUGCUGUAGGUG
rnacentral:rRNA from 1 species